UCAAAUGUUUUUGCAACUUAUGUCGCUCAGCAUUUGGGUUGCAAAGUGUAUCGUACAAGCCAUGAAGAUGAU
rnacentral:sRNA from 1 species